rnacentral:lncRNA from 1 species
AGAUUCAGAACAUCUCACAUAACUGGAACAGAAAAUAGGCCGAGGGGAAGAAGAGAGGGAGUGAAGGAGGGUCUACCUAUCUGCUUCUCAGCACCCACUGGCCACAGCAGGACACACCUCCAAGACCCUUGGAGGCUGUUGGAGCAGGUACUAUCCUGGUUGACUCCACCAAGGUGAAAUGAAAGUUGUAUGUGAUUUUCCUCUUUGUUGUUCUUGUAUAGACUUUUCAAUUGCUGUAUGUGGGAUCAGCCCAGACGCCAGCAACAAACUAGCAAGAGGGGUGUUUUUAUGGUAUAAGUCUCUAAAAGUCUAAAUUGGACCAAAAUUAAAAUGACACAAACUUAAAAAAAAAUAAAAUUCCUCUCAUUGCCACUUUUUUCAAUCUCUAAAAGUUAGUUGCCCCCAAAAGAAUAUUGGUUUAAUAAUCAUCAUAUUUAAGAAAUGCACUGAUAAAAACAUAUUUUCCAAUUUUAAAUACACCUAUUUAAAAUGUAAAUACACUUAUUUAAAAUUCAAGUAAAUAUGUAACUAUCAAAGUAAAUGUAUUCAAAACAGAAGUUGUGCUUCUGAAUGUAAAAAUAUUAAAAGGAAGAGAAGACGGAUGAAUUGUUGUAUUCAUGGACAUUUCAGAAUUCACGCUUAUAAAGCAAAUCCAAGUUAAAAAACAAAAAAAGAUUUUUGUGCCUCAUGAAGAUUGUGCCUCAUGCCCAAUAACCUCAUGUACUUUGAAGGAUGUGAAGGUUUGCAAGAGAUGCAUUUGGCUUCAUUUUCCUCUAAUCUUUUACUUCUACCCACAGUAGAUGAUACAAAAAAUCUUGCCUUAAAGACUGCAGGUUUAAGAGUCAUUGCAAAAGAUGUCAGUUUGAUUUUGUGGUCCUAGGCCAAGAGGGUGUAAAAUUCUGAGCCUAGUUUAAAUUCUUUAUUUUCAGAUUGUUCUGGACUGAAAAUAAAGAAUUUAAACUAGGCUAGAGAUGCCUUUAAGUUACAUUUCAGAUCCUCUUCACAGCACGCUACAUAUCUAAAGCCCUUGAGAUCCUGAUUGUUCUCACAGUUGUUGGUGGAAUCCAUAGUUUUAUAACUCACCUCUUUUUAUGGUGGCAUUGUUAGCCCUUCUGUGUCUCUCCCUAGGAUUUUUAAUUCAGGACUAAAAUCACAGAAGUAGCAAGGAAAGGCUCAAGACUAGAGAUAGCUUUCAAUCUCUUCAGAAAUAGCCUGGUGCAGUGAGAAAACUAGGUUUGUUUUCAGGCCAGUCUGAUCUUCAUCCUAUUCUGUCUAUAACUAGUUGCAGGUCCUUGCUCGGAUGGCAUAAUUUUUUGAUGCCUCCAUUUGCUUAACUAGAAACUAGGAUUCAUAUACACACUCUGCACUUUGUAUUGAAGAUUAAUGAUAAUGUAGGUUUUGGUUGCUGUGGCUGAGCCUGGCCAGUAAUAGGUGCAUAACAGAAGUAGCUAAGAGCAUUUCAUAAUCAGGAUGAACUCUCCAGGACAGCCCUACAAAGAAGGAGCUGUUUGUUCCCGGAUGGCCUCGACCUUCCAGGCUUGAUUGUAAAGAGUUUAGUGUCCUCUCCUUCUCUCAUUCCCUGCAGUUCAUUUCCAAUAAACUGCAGUUAUUCAAGUUGAGCAAGUUCCGGAAUUUAGUGCCUACCAUGCUAUUGGGCAGUUUAUUUAUAAUGUGCUUUAUGAUGAUACUUCAGAGAAAUUUAAUUGCUAUACAAAAAGACGAAUCAUUGUGACUUUUCGUUAAGGAGGCGAUUGCAAUUCUUUGCUCCCUGCCUGGUGUCUGGGUUAGAAGGCCCUUCUGCAGGCUGGUAGUGUCUGUUCCACCUGGAUUAGGUUAACUCAACAGGUAAUUCCUAUCUGUUUAUACACAGAUGCUUUAGCGCUUGCUGUACAAAGUCAUUUGGCUACACACUGAGGAGGCCCAUGGGAGUAGUAGCCUCCUCAAAUAAUGUUCCCUACCUAUCUGUCAAUACCUUCCAUCUUAGGUAUUGAGAAUUUAAUGAGGCUGUGUUUUCUUGGCUGUGCUUCUUGAUGUUGGAAGCCAUGUUCCUGGGGAACAAAUCUGUAUUCUUUUCUCCUAAGAUGUGAGUUUUUUUCAACCUUUGCUAAUAUUUUAAUGGAGCAAAUGUACAGAUGUUGAGAUUUUGCACUGCUUAUAAAAUGCCUACCAUGUUUUUUGCAUAAUGGAUUGUAUAGAAAUGCAGAUUAUAUUCUUACAGCAAAUAAAAAGAUGCUUUUAACAGACUUUCUUGUAUGUGAGCCAUUUUCUUCUCUGAAAUUCCGGGAUGUUAGAUGUUAGCUAAAUUUGCUGCUGUUCAGCCCUGAACAUCUUGUCAAGGUGAAUAGUAUAACUUACCCAUUUCAAUUUUCUUCCUUAUUGUUUAGGUGGUAGUUCAUUUUUUAACCUUUUUCUCCCUAUACACCCAGUAAAUAAAUUUGUUAAUAUAAAUAACCCAUAAUAGAGUUUAGUCAGCAGGUGAACACCUGUAUUAUCAACUCAGUUUAUAUCAUUCCAGACCAAGCUAUCUUGCUAGUGGUUAAGAAUUGGGACUUUGCGCAGCUACUCAGGAGGCUGAGGCAGGAGAAUGGUGUGAACCUUGGAGGCAGAGCUUGCAGUGAGCCGAGAUCACGCCGCUGCAUUCCAGCCUGGGCGACAGAGCGAGACUCCGUCUCAAAAAACAAAACAAAACAAAACAAAACAAAAAAAACAAUUGGAACUUUGGAGUUUAGAAAAACUUACAAUUAAAUCCUGACACUGCCUUUUGUUUGCUCUGGGAGCUUUACUAAAUUGCAUAAUAUCUCUAAACUUUAGUUUCUUUAGCUGUAAAUUGAGAAUAAUAAGAAUUCCUGACUCAUUAUAGCACAGGGCUGGCCUUACAGCAAGGGCUCAAUAAAUAUUAGCUAUUAUUUCUUGGACAGAGAGUGGAGUAUGGUAAAAAGAAGUUAGGCCCUGAGUUCAAGGGUAAUGUCCCUUACUAAUUCCAUGACAUCAGGUAGAUAAUCUCCAACUUCAGUAAAAAGGAGUUAAUUUCACCAUGUAUUACCCAUUUAGCUAUUCCCACAGGCACCAGCUUCUGACAUCCCCACCUCCAACAAUUUCUCCACCUGUAUCCCCACGCCCUUGGCCUCCUUGGGCCUUCAUCUACUGUGGCCGUCUCUUGCCCUCAUGACUGACUAGGACUCUCCCACAACCUCCCUGAGACUUACUUCCUGCAACCACUGCCCUUCACUCUGUUCCUAUUUACCCUAUCUCCUUCUCCACACACAAUUAAUUGCUUUAUUCUUCCAAAUUUCCACUAACACAAGUCAACUGCAGAGAGCAGACUUUUCCUAAAGGUUUAGGAUGAUAGCACAGCAGAAUCAACUAUUUA